rnacentral:rRNA from 1 species
GACGAACGCUGGCGGCGUGCUUAACACAUGCAAGUCGAACGGAAAGGCCCUGCUUUUGUGGGGUGCUCGAGUGGCGAACGGGUGAGUAACACGUGAGUAACCUGCCCUUGACUUUGGGAUAACUUCAGGAAACUGGGGCUACUACCGGAUAGGAGCUCCUGCUGCAUGGGGGGGGUUGGAAAGUUUCGGCGGUGGGGGAUGGACUCGCGGCUUGUCAGCUUGUUGGUGGGGGAGUGGCUUACCAAGGCUUUGACGGGUAGCCGGCCUGAGAGCGUGACCGGCCACAUUGGGACUGAGGUACGGCCCAGUCUCCUACGGGGGGCAGCAGUGGGGAAUAUUGCACAAUGGGCGGACGCGUGAUGCAGCAACGCCGCGUGCGGGAUGACGGCCUUCGGGUUGUAAACCGCUUUCGCCUGUGACGAAGCGUGAGUGACGGUAAUGGGUAAAGAAGCACCGGCUAACUACGUG